rnacentral:rRNA from 1 species
AACGAACGCUGGCGGCAUGCCUACCACAUGCAAGUCAACCGAAACUUCGGGGCUAUUGGUCCCCGGGUUGGUAAGGCGGGGGGAUCCUUCCCUAAGGUCGGAACUACCUCCCCGAAGGGGUUGCAAUCCCCGAACAUGAUCUCCGACCAAAGAUUUUUCGCCCUUGGAUGGGUCCGCGUUGGAUUAGCUAGUUGGUAGGGUAAAAGCCUACCAAGGCGACGCUUCAUAGCUGGUUUGAGAGGAUGAUCAGCCACACUGGGACUGAGACACGGCCCAGACUCCUACGGGAGGCAGCAGUGGGGAAUAUUGGACAAUGGGCGAAAGCCUGAUCCAGCAAUGCCGCGUGAGUGAUGAAGGCCUUAGGGUUGUAAAGCUCUUUUACCCGGGAUGAUAAUGACAGUACCGGGAGAAUAAGCUCCGGCUAACUCCGUG